rnacentral:lncRNA from 1 species
GAUCUCAAAACACUCCAUCUCUAUCAUCUAUCCGCUUGCAUAGAUCUUAAAAUACUACAUCCUCUAUCAUUCAUCCACUUAUACCGAUCUUAAAGCACUCCAUCCUCUAUCAUCCAUUCGCUUGUACAAAUCUUAAAGCACUAUAUUGUUUAUCAUUCAUCUAUCUGCAUAGAUCUUAAAGCACUCUAUCCUCUAUCAUCCAUCAACGUGAACAAAUCUCAAAGCGCUCCAUCGUUUAUUAUCUAUCCACUUAAACAAAUUUCAAAGCACUCCAUCUUCUAUCAUU